rnacentral:rRNA from 1 species
UGAGUUCGCUUUUCCGUUGUCCUCGGGACGUUAAUGCGCUCUGGUCGAGGAUAAAUGACCCCUCUGACCGAGGUCAAACCUGUCGCUGUGUUACCUCUUUACCGAGGCACACGUUAAAGAUCGUUCCGCGUUGUGAGUCUAACACCAGUUGUAUAAACUUUUUACAACCGGUAGCGAUGGAUCCCUUGGCACGUCAUUCGAUGAAGACCGUUGCAAAUUGCGAUAAAGUGAUGUGAUGCGCAAGUCCACCACUUAUACGUGAAUCAUCGAGUUGUUGAACGCAUUGCACCGCGCCCUAAUCCGGCUGCGGUAUGCCCCUUUGAGCGUCAUUGUAUUCCUUCGGGAGUCCUUUUAACUAAGGACCCGAGUUCGGAGUCCUCGGUCCUUCGGGAUCGGGUUCCCUUAAAGGCUUCCCACCAAUCGCCGGAGGGGCCCCCUAAGGCCUAGCCGGGAAGUUCCUUCGAAGUCCAAAACGGGUUUGACCGGUGGUGGAGUUCGGGUCACCAAUUCGGCCUAACCACCGGAACUACAACGCAGGACCUCAUGGGGUUAGAACAACCCGUUAAACUAAGCCAUAUCAUAAGCCGGA